rnacentral:rRNA from 1 species
UGGGGGAUAUUGCACAAUGGGCGAAAGCCUGAUGCAGCGACGCCGCGUGAGGGAAGACGGUCUUCGGAUUGUAAACCUCUGUCUUUGGGGAAGAAAAUGACGGUACCCAAAGAGGAAGCUCCGGCUAACUACGUGCCAGCAGCCGCGGUAAUACGUAGGGAGCAAGCGUUGUCCGGAAUUACUGGGUGUAAAGGGAGCGUAGGCGGGAUGGCAAGUAGAAUGUUAAAUCCAUCGGCUCAACCGGUGGCUGCGUUCUAAACUGCCGUUCUUGAGUGAAGUAGAGGCAGGCGGAAUUCCUAGUGUAGCGGUGAAAUGCGUAGAUAUUAGGAGGAACACCAGUGGCGAAGGCGGCCUGCUGGGCUUUAACUGACGCUGAGGCUCGAAAGCGUGGGGAGCAAACAG